GUCCCUGUAGAGCAAUGGAUAGCGCACGGACUUCUACUCCAAAGGUCGUGGGUUUGAAUCCCACCUGGGAUG